UACGUAGGGACCAAGCGUUGUUCGGAUUUACUGGGCGUAAAGAGCUCGUAGGCGGUCUGUCGCGUCGGAUGUGAAAAUCCAGGGCUCAACCCUGGACCUGCAUUCGAUACGGGCAGACUAGAGUUCGGUAGGGGAGACAGGAAUUCCUGGUGUAGCGGUGAAAUGCGCAGAUAUCAGGAAGAACACCCGUGGCGAAGGCGGCUCUCUGGGACGGUACUGACGCUGAGACGCGAAAGCGUGGGGAGCGAACAGG
rnacentral:rRNA from 1 species